CUAGGGCACACUAAACGCAGCAAGAAAUGCAAACUAAAUAAGAAAAGCGUGGUGGGCGAAGAAGAGUAGAACAGUUGCUAAAGUUAUGUUAGGAUGAAUCCAGUGAUCUAAUAGUGAGGUGUUUACUAUGUGUUACUACAUACAUGAUACAUGAUAUAUACUAUUGCAAGAGGCCAGUACCUUGAGAUAGUGCUUGUAGCAUAUAUGGACUAAACAGGAGGCGGUCACUAGGGACUUUAAUCAUGGAAAAUGGAUAGCAUUUUAGCCAUUGUAAUGAUGGCAUCUUUUGUGUUGUCCACUCUAGUUAUAUUAUAUUAGAAAACUAGACGAUACCUGACAUGUUGUUGCGGGAAUGUUUUGCAAUAUAUUCAUAGAGAAAUGGUUACGUGUAACAUGUAUAUGUUGUUGCGGGAAUAUUUUGUUUUCAUGUUGUGGUGGACCUUUCUCCAUACAUGUUGAAUGACGAGGUGGCAAACUUGCAUGUUAAGAGAAAUAGGUUAGUGGUGGCUAGUUGUUUAGAUAUAGAAGAUGUAAUUAUGUGUGGUAAUAAUU